rnacentral:rRNA from 1 species
GAGGAAUAUUGGUCAAUGGGCGCAGGCCUGAACCAGCCAAGUAGCGUGAAGGAUGACUGCCCUAUGGGUUGUAAACUUCUUUUAUAUGGGAAUAAAGUUUUCCACGUGUGGAAUUUUGUAUGUACCAUAUGAAUAAGGAUCGGCUAACUCCGUGCCAGCAGCCGCGGUAAUACGGAGGAUCCGAGCGUUAUCCGGAUUUAUUGGGUUUAAAGGGAGCGUAGGUGGACAGUUAAGUCAGUUGUGGAAGUUUGCGGCUCAACCGUAAAAUUGCAGUUGAUACUGGCUGUCUUGAGUACAGUAGAGGUGGGCGGAAUUCGUGGUGUAGCGGUGAAAUGCUUAGAUAUCACGAAGAACUCCGAUUGCGAAGGCAGCUCACUGGACUGCAACUGACACUGAUGCUCGAAAGUGUGGGUAUCAAACAGGAUUAGAUACCCUGGUAGUCCACACAGUAAACGAUGAAUACUCGCUGUUUGCGAUAUACAGUAAGCGGCCAAGCGAAAGCAUUAAGUAUUCCACCUGGGGAGUACGCCGGCAACGGUGAAACUCAAAGGAAUUGACGGGGGCCCGCACAAGCGGAGGAACAUGUGGUUUAAUUCGAUGAUACGCGAGGAACCUUACCCGGGCUUAAAUUGCAUUUGAAUAUAUUGGAAACAGUAUAGCCGUAAGGCAAAUGUGAAGGUGCUGCAUGGUUGUCGUCAGCUCGUGCCGUGAGGUGUCGGCUUAAGUGCCAUAACGAGCGCAACCCUUAUCUUUAGUUACUAACAGGUCAUGCUGAGGACUCUAGAGAGACUGCCGUCGUAAGAUGUGAGGAAGGUGGGGAUGACGUCAAAUCAGCACGGCCCUUACGUCCGGGGCUACACACGUGUUACAAUGGGGGGUACAGAAGGCAGCUACCUGGUGACAGGAUGCUAAUCCCAAAAGCCUCUCUCAGUUCGGAUCGAAGUCUGCAACCCGACUUCGUGAAGCUGGAUUCGCUAGUAAUCGCGCAUCAGCCAUGGCGCGGUGAAUACGUUCCCG